GGCCGGUUAGCUCAGCUGGUUAGAGCGUGGUGCUAAUAAUGCCAAUGUCCUGGGUUCGAUCCCCAUACUGGCCA
rnacentral:tRNA from 1 species